rnacentral:rRNA from 1 species
CAUUCGGAUUGCAGGCUGCAACUCGCCUGUAUGAAGUCGGAAUUGCUAGUAAUCGCGGAUCAGCAUGCCGCGGUGAAUACGUUCCCGGGCCUUGUACACACCGCCCGUCAAGCCAUGGAAGCCGGGAGCGCCUGAAGUACGCGACCGCAAGGAGCGUCCUAAGGUAAAACCGGUGACUGGGGCUAAGUCGUAACAAGGUAAC